rnacentral:lncRNA from 1 species
ACAUGGAAAACAACACAUCUAUUUACUGUAUGUUGUUUGUUUACUCGUUAAUCUGUUUGUUAUUUUCAGACUCUUUUCCUCACCCCUGCCAGGCAGUGGGAUAUUUGGUGAUGCUAUCUGUGUGUGUGUCUGUUUGUUUGUUUACUUGUUUGUGUUUGCAUAAUGACCUUAGGGACCAACAUCACUGGGAAAAACCUUCAUGGUCUAUGAGGGCAUUGCUGGACAAAAGCAAGGACACUGCAAGUGAACAAGAGCCAUGCAGCCCUUCAGACAUAUUACAGUCAAAGACAAAGAAUUCAUGACCUCUGCAGUUCUGCUUGUCCUUGAGUCCUAUAAUGAAUAUUCAGCAGAUUAGAAGACAGACAUGAAAGUUAACAUUAGCCAUAUAUUUAAAAAUCCCAUAUUCAGAUAAUCCGCAUAUUUGUCAAAAUCAAACACAAGAGAAAUAUAAGAGGACAAAUUAUAUAAUGAGAGGAUGGGGAUACGUCUUGCGGACAGGGAAUUAGAUAAAGACACAUUUGGCUGAGUUUGAAGGAAGGAAAUGGCCUUGAAGAUGGUUACUGAAAUUCUGCUGGAUGGAUGGAGUUUGCCAUGAACCCCGAUGGUGACGAAGGUGGAUGUUUUAACUUUAUUUGGUCUAGAGCAUGUGAGAAAAUAUGUUAAUUUGAGUGCCAUGUCUUUCAAUGUGCACACGCACACAAGUUAAAAUGUCUGAAUGAAAGCAGACUUCAUUUGUGUGUGUGUGUGUGUGUGUGUGUGUGUGUGUGUGUGUGUGUGUGUGUGUGUGUGUGUGUGUGUGUGUGUGUGUGUGUGUGUGUGUGUGUGUGUUGUGUGUGUGUGUGAAGUGAGUUGUCUGGGUUUUCUACUUAUCACCAAUAGCCAGUACGUAACAACCCCAACCCCCCCAAACUACCGAAACUAGCGGAAACAUGCAUUAUGUCCUCCCCACCAACUACUUUCUAUUUCUUCCUCUUCUCUCCCCGUCCUCUGUACCUCUCUCUCUCUCCCUUUUUUUCUCAUUUAUGACGAGUCAUUACCGUGAGCACUGGGAUGAAAGCUUAGGAUCUGGCCGAACCGCUCCCUCUGACUGACGCAUAUUCAUUUAAAAAUGAGCCUCUUAUUACCCGUCCAAACUUUUUACAGCCCCACAGUGCACAGUAGAAGACAGCUUUAUUCCCACAGAGCCCGAGUGUGGGCCAGAAAGCCUCGCAGCCUUUGAUGGUUAUAUAUGUGCACAGGCCGUCACCUUGGCAG